GCUCCGGUGGCCUAGUGGUUAGAGCGUCGGCUUCGGAUGCGGAAGUUUGUUGGUUCGACCCCCGUCGAGUU